GGUAUAGUGCGCUUGGCCCGCCACGGCUUCGUGUGUGAGUGCCGAUGCGCGCUUACCAUCUUCCUGGAGAACGUUCCUGCCCUUUGCUGGGUUGGGUUCGCAAUCCAGGACCUUUACUUUGAAAAAAUUAGAGUGUUUAAAGCAGGCGGUAAGUUAUGAAUACAUUAGCAUGGAAUAAUAAGUUAGGGCUCGUUUAUCGAAUUUUGUUGGUUUUUGGAUUUGUGAGCA
rnacentral:rRNA from 1 species